UGUAGUGAUUAUAGAAGCGUCUUCCCAGCAAGCAUCGGAUCUGUCUUUCCCCUCACUUUGGACGAGUAACUGGCGCACCGUUUCUCCAUCUCUCAAGAGUUCUAUCCAGAUUGGGGUCAAUUGCAUCUCCAGCCAAAUACGGGACAUGCACUGGUGGUUCCUGGUUAUAUACUAGCUGAUAUGGAGACAUGCCGCUUGCGGAGUGAAAAUUGGUGUUAUACCACCAUUCGGCUAAGGGUAACCAUUUACUCCAUAAGUGCGGUCUUUGGCUAAUCAUGCAUCUCAAGAAGAAGUUUAUUAUUAGGAGAAAGAGACUUGCUUAUGAAUGCUAUGGGUUGCCGUUUCUGAAU